rnacentral:rRNA from 1 species
AGCAGCCGCGGUAAUUCCAGCUCCAAUAGCGUAUAUUAAAGUUGUUGCAGUUAAAAAGCUCGUAGUUGAAUUUCGGGAUCAAUUUGCUGGUCGUGCCUCUGGUACGUACUGGUAUUAUUGGUUUCUCCCUUCUGACGAACCAUGAUGUCAUUAAUUUGAUGUCGUGGAGAAUCAGGACUGUUACUUUGAAAAAUUAGAGUGUUUAAAGCAGGCAUUAGCUUGAAUACAUUAGCAUGGAAUAAUGAAAUAGGACGUUUGAUCCUAUUUUGUUGGUUUCUAGGAUUGACGUAAUGAUUAAUAGGGAUAGUUGGGGGCAUUAGUAUUCAAUUGUCAGAGGUGAAAUUCUUGGGUUUAUUGAAGACUAACUACUGCGAAAGCAUUUGCCAAGGAUGUUUUCAUUAAUCAAGAACGAAAGUUAGGGGAUCGAAGACGAUCAGAUACCGUCGUAGUCUUAACCAUAAACUAUGCCGACUAGGGAU